rnacentral:rRNA from 1 species
UACACAUGCAGUCGAGCGGGGAAAGUAGCUUGCUACUUGACCUAGCGGCGGACGGGUGAGUAAUGCUUAGGAAUCUGCCUAUUAGUGGGGGACAACAUCUCGAAAGGGAUGCUAAUACCGCAUACGUCCUACGGGAGAAAGCAGGGGACCUUCGGGCCUUGCGCUAAUAGAUGAGCCUAAGUCGGAUUAGCUAGUUGGUGGGGUAAAGGCCUACCAAGGCGACGAUCUGUAGCGGGUCUGAGAGGAUGAUCCGCCACACUGGGACUGAGACACGGCCCAGACUCCUACGGGAGGCAGCAGUGGGGAAUAUUGGACAAUGGGGGGAACCCUGAUCCAGCCAUGCCGCGUGUGUGAAGAAGGCCUUUUGGUUGUAAAGCACUUUAAGCGAGGAGGAGGCUACCGAGAUUAAUACUCUUGGAUAGUGGACGUUACUCGCAGAAUAAGCACCGGCUAACUCUGUGCCAGCAGCCGCGGUAAUACAGAGGGUGCAAGCGUUAAUCGGAUUUACUGGGCGUAAAGCGCGCGUAGGUGGCCAAUUAAGUCAAAUGUGAAAUCCCCGAGCUUAACUUGGGAAUUGCAUUCGAUACUGGUUGGCUAGAGUAUGGGAGAGGAUGGUAGAAUUCCAGGUGUAGCGGUGAAAUGCGUAGAGAUCUGGAGGAAUACCGAUGGCGAAGGCAGCCAUCUGGCCUAAUACUGACACUGAGGUGC